rnacentral:ribozyme from 1 species
UUGAUUGUUGGAUUUUUAUUGAGAUAACGUCCACGACGUCUCAAUACGUCCACGACGUGCAGAACGGUAACUUGACGCCUAGAUAUCCAAGCUUGGGUACACGGGGAAACCCACCCCCAUAGGCGGAUGGGCGGCAAGGCUGAAUUGAGAGGG